ACCACCCUUGAUCUGGGCCGACAUGGUCUGC
rnacentral:piRNA from 1 species